rnacentral:tRNA from 1 species
GCCUUGGUGGUGCAACGGUUAAGCACUUGACUGCUAACUAAAAGGUUGGUGGUUCAAACCCACCCAACAGCA